GAUGAACGCUGGCGGCGUGCCUAAUACAUGCAAGUCGAGCGAACAGACGAGGAGCUUGCUCCUCUGACGUUAGCGGCGGACGGGUGAGUAACACGUGGAUAACCCACCUAUAAGACUGGGAUAACUUCGGGAAACCGGAGCUAAUACCGGAUAAUAUAUUGAACCGCAUGGUUCAAUAGUGAAAGACGGUUUUGCUGUCACUUAUAGAUGGAUCCGCGCCGCAUUAGCUAGUUGGUAAGGUAACGGCUUACCAAGGCAACGAUGCGUAGCCGACCUGAGAGGGUGAACGGCCACACUGAAACUGAGACACGGUCCAGAGUCCUACGGGAGGCAGCAGUAGGGAAUCUUCCGAAAAGGGCGAAAGACUGAAGGAGCAACGCCGCGUGAGUGAUGAAGGUCUUCGGAUCGUAAAACUCUGUUAGUAGGGAAGAACGAAUGUGUAAGUAACUAUGCACGUCUUGACGGUACCUAAUCAGAAAGCAACGGCUAACUACGUG
rnacentral:rRNA from 1 species